rnacentral:misc_RNA from 1 species
GAUGAAGAACGUAGCGAAAUGCGAUACUUGGUGUGAAUUGCAGAAUCCCGUGAACCAUCGAGUCUUUGAACGCAAGUUGCGCCCGAAGCCAUUAGGCCGAGGGCACGCCUGCCUGGGCGUCGCACGUCGUUGCCCCCCCAUCUACUCCUUCGGGAUUGCGGGGGGCGGAUGAUGGCCUCCCGUGCGCCUCGCCGCGCGGUUGGCAUAAAUGCCAAGUCCUCGGCGACGCACGCCACGACAAUCGGUGGUUGCGAAACCUCGGUUGCCCGUCGUGUGCGGUCGUCGCGCAUCGAGGGCUCGAAAAAAUUGCCGGGUUCCGGCUCGGCUUUCAACGCGACCCCAGGUCAGGCGGGGUUACCCGCUGAAUUUAAGCAUAUCAAUAAGCGGAGG